rnacentral:rRNA from 1 species
AAGAGAGAGUUCAAGAGUACGUGAAACCGCAUAGAGUCAAACUGGUGGAUCCGCAGAGUCCGCGCGGGGAAUUCAGCUCGGCAGGCGGGGCCGUGCGCCGGCCGAGAUUCGUCUCGGACCUGGCUGGCGCGCUGCGUACUCGCAGGCAGGGUGCACUUUCCCCGGCUAGCGGAAGGCCACGACCGGUUCGGUGGCGGUCAGGAGCCCGGAGCGGGAGGUAGCCGUGAUCGGUUCACGCCGAUUGCGGAACGUACAGCCCUCCGAGGUGGACUCGCCGCUGGACCGAGGAUGCCGCGGUGGCCUCACGCCGCGGGCCGUCCGGGAGCGUUCGACUUUGGCCACGCUGCUCGCAGCCGGCCGAGACCGCGCUUCUGGUACGGGCUCGCGAACGGGGGCCGCCUAGGGUCAGUGGCGAAUCGGUCGGCAACCCACCAGACCCGUCUUGAAACACGGACCAAGGAGUCUAGCAUGUGCGCGAGUCACGGGGUCUCUCGAAACCCAAGGGCGCAAUGAAAGUGAAGGCCGCCUCCGGCUGGCCCAGGCAAGAUCCCGAGACGUUCGCGUCGAGGGCGCACUGCCGGCCCGUCUCGCUGGCAUCGACCACGAGGCGGAGCAAGAGCGCACACGCUGGGACCCGAAAGAUGGUGAACUAUGCCUGAGUAGGACGAAGUCA